CAUCCAGUCACACCAGGGGCUUCCGUCCAUCCAGUCACACCAGGGUCUUCAUCCAGUCACAGCAGGGUCUUCAUCCAGUCACAGCAGGGUCUUCAUCCAUCCAGUCACAUCAGGGUCUUCAUCCAUCCAGUCACAUCAGGGUUUUCAAUUCAUCCAGUCACAUCAGGGUCUUCAAUCCAUCCAGUCACAGCAGGGUCUUCAAUCC